AAAUAGUCAAGACAGUUGACAAAGUCAUAAGUAAUGAUUUUUAAUUGAAAUUAUAAUUGUGUCCUUUGCUUUCAUCAAAUAAUCCUCCAUUUGAAGCAAGUACAGUCUUGCGGAACUUUGGCGUUCUAGGUGUCAAUUUGGUAAGGUAAUCUGAAGAGAUUUCACCCCAUGCUUCCUGAAGCACCUCCCACAAAUUGGAUUGGUUUGAUGGGCAUUUCUUACGUAUCAUACGGACAGUCUGCUCCCACAACAGAUCAAUAGAGUUGAGAUCUGGUGACUGUGCUGGUCACUCCAAUAUAGACAGAAUACCAGCUGACUGCUUCUUCCCUAGUUCUUGCAUAGUUUGGAGCUGUGCUUUGGGUCAUUUUCCUGUUGUAGGAGGAAAUUGCCUCCAAUUCAGCAUCAUCCACAGGGUAUGGCAUGGUGUUGCAAAAUGGAGUGAUAGCCUUCCUUCUUCAAGAUCCCUUUGACCCUGUACAACUCUCCCACUUUACUACCAUCAAAGCACCCCCAGACCAUCACAUUGCCUCCACCAUGCUUCACAGAUGAUGUCACUCUUCCAGCUUCUUUUGCAUUUUUUCUGCGUCUCACGAAUGUUCUUUGUGCUCCGAACAUCUCAAAAUUAGAUUCGUCUGUCCAUAACACUUUUUCCAAUCUUCCUCUGUCCAGUGUCUGUGUUCUGUUGCCCAUCUUUUAUUUUUAUUGUCCAGUCUGAGAUAUGUAUUUUCCUUUGAAACUCUGCCUAGAAGGUCAGCAUCCCGGAGUCACCUCUUCACUGUUGACGUUGAGACUGGUGUUUUGUGGGUACUAUUUAAUGAAACUGCCAGUUGCCAAGAGUAAAGCUGUCCUCAAGUCAAAUGGUGGCUACAUUGAAGAAUCUCAAAUAUAAAAUAUGUUUUCAUUUGUUUAACACUUUUUUGGUUACUACAUGAUUCCAUAUGUGUUAUUUCAUAGUUUUGAUGUCUUCACUAUUAUUCUAUAAUAUAGAAAAUAGUUUUAAAAAAUAAAGAAAAACCCUUGAAUGAGUAGGUGUGUCCAAACGUUUGACUGGUACUGUAUAUAUGACUGGUACUGUGUACACACACACACACACCCUGUCUUCACACAUGCUCUGUUUCAUGUCUCCUCAGACCGUUACCACAGAAGCGGCUGAAGCGGAGAUGUUUUUGGGGCCAUGUAAUGUGAUGUGACUAGACGAUGGGAGACACUGGGAUUUGACGCUCUUGGAAGAAUAAAAG
ensembl:lncRNA